CCUCCUCCCUGCCCUUUCCGCCUGACCGCCGAGCUCCGGUUCGCCUCCUAGCGCCGUCCUCAUGCAGCCAUCUGUUAGCCAAGCUUUGCGAGGUACGUGAUCUGAUACAUGGUGCUCAGCUUGAACACAUCAGACUGGAGCGUCUCAUCUGGUGGAUCCCAUGCAGAUGCAUCGAGAGAUGGACCUCGAGCUGCACGCGAUGGCGCCGGGCUAGCACAAGGCAGAGCACCUGGCCGUGGCCGGCGAGGAGGCGCGCAAGGUCGGCGCGUCGGUGCCCACUGGUUGCCAUCCCCAUCUCCCCUUCCUAGGUGCUCCCCUCCGCGUCUUAACUCUUACCCCGAGGUGCUACAGAAGAGACGCCCUACGGGGAGCUAACGUGGAGGAGCGGGCGGCCGCUCGAGGCACAACAUCCUGUUGCAGGCGAGGUGAGUCUCAAUGCUGAUGUUGGUCACCAACGAGGUCUUCGAUCGGAGCGGAAGUCCAGGCGAGGUGGAUUUCGCCGGCGAGGCCCUCUCCGUUCUUCCUCUUGUGUGCGUCUUGGGCAGGAGGCAGGAGGGCCAGCAGGGCCUGAAGUGCCUAGCCCUCCGGGCCACUGAGGCGAGGUGCCGAGGGCGCGCGGUGUUGGCGCAUAAGCCAUGUCCCCGCCGAGGUGACCGGUGUCGGGCGUGCCUGUCCGGUCCGUGGCCGCGUCGAGCCCAUGUUUAGGCAUAGUCUGACCUUGGUCUGGCCAUGGUCCGACUAGUGUAUGGCUUGUGUGCGUGCGUGUGUGGCGCGGGGUGUGUGUCUGUGUGCGCACCUGUUGCGUGGGUAGUUGGCGAUAGUGGCGGGGGUGACCGCGGCGUUCUGUUGGAGCCCGGCCGCGUUGAUCGCGUUGGUGCGCGACGGGUGCGUGAGCUAGGGCGUGCGGAGCGUGCGGGCGUGGAGGAGUGGGGAGCGCGGCGUCGUGUGGGCGCGCCCGUGUAUAAAGCUCCACCCCGCGUACUGUUGUUUGUGUGGGGCUCGAGUUCGUGCUCGAGGAAGACGCCGUUCGUGCGGCAGGCGUUCGUACGCCGGAACCACCGUGUCUUGUGUCUCCCUCCUUUCUUCUUCCUCUAAUCGUUCUAGCGAGAGUACAAAGAGAGAGAGAGAGUUCCGGUGAGAGGGAGGGCUAGGGCUAGACACCCAACACUUGGCAUCAGGCCUACAGGUUUGCGGCCGUGGCGCGCGGUGGCGUCCGCGGCGCGCGCGGCGAGCACGUCGGACAUGGAGGCUGUAGCGCGCGGCGAGCGCAUGGCGAGCGCGACGCGCGGCGACUCCACGGUGGUGCGGACUGAUGUCGUGCACGCGAAGAGCACGGCAGUCGUGGAGACGAGGAGGUCGCGGAGGAGCUGUGUGGUAGCGCAGAAGUCGCGGCGGCUCGGCGCGACAACCGUGGGGGCACGGAAACGUGGCGCGAGACGGCGCAUGGGACUGCGGGCUGCUUCAGCGGCAGUGGGCGUCGGCUCAUGCUGGAGGCGAAGAGGAGACGACGAUGACGACGAGUGAGGCGAUGUCAUGGCUUAGGGGGUGAUUGUUGGCGCAUAAGCCAUGUCCCCGCCGAGGUGACCGGUGUCGGGCGUGCCUGUCCGGUCCGUGGCCGCGUCCGCGUCGAGCCCAUGUUUAGGCAUAGUCUGACCUUGGUCUGGCCAUGGUCCGACUAGUGUAUGGCUUGUGUGCGUGCGUGUGUGUGGGGCGCGGGGUGUGUGUCUGUGUGCGCACCUGUUGCGUGGGUAGUUGGCGAUAGUGGCGGGGUGACCGCGGCGUUCUGCCGGCCGCGUUGAUCGCGUUGGUGCGCGUCGGGUGCGUGAGCUAGGGCGUGCGGAGCGUGCGGGCGUGGAGGAGUGGGGAGCGCGACGUCGUGUGGGCGCGCCCGUGUAUAAAGCUCCACCCCGCGUACUGUUGUUUGUGUGGGGCUCGAGUUCGUGCUCGAGGAAGACGCCGUUCGUGUGGCAGGCGUUCGUGCGCCGGAACCACCGUGUCUUGUGUCUCCCUCCUUUCUUCUUCCUCUGAUCGUUCUAGCGAGAGUACAGAGAGAGAGAGAGAGAGUUCCGGUGAGAGGGAGGGCUAGGGGUACCGUGGCGCGCGGUGGCGUCCGCGGCACGCGCGGCGAGCACGUCGGAUAUGGAGGCUGCAGCGCGCGGCGAGCGCGUGGCGAGCGCUACGCGCGGCGACUCCACGGUGGUGCGGACUGAUGUCGUGCACGCGAAGAGCACAGCAGUCGCGGAGACGAGGAGGUCGCGGAGGAGCUGUGUGGUGGCGCAGAAGUCGCGGCGGCUGGGCGCGACAACUGUGGGGGCACGGAAACAUGGCGCGACGGCGCACGGGACUGCGGGCUGCUGCAGCGGCAGUGGGCGUCGGCUCGUGCUGGAGGCGCAGAGGAGACGACGACGACGAGUCAGGUGAUGUCAUGGCUUAGGGGGUGAUUCUUGGCGCUUAAGCCAUGUCCCUGCCGAGGUGACCGGUGUCGGGCGUGCCAGUCCGGUCCGUGGCCGCGUCGAGCCAAUGUUUAGGCAUAGUCUGACCUUGGUCUGGCCAUGGUCCGACUAGUGUAUGGCUUGUGUGCGUGCGUGUGUGUGUGGCGCGGGGUGUGCGUCUGUGUGCGCACCUGUUGCGUGGGUAAUUGGCGAUAGUGGCGGGGGUGACCGCGGCGUUCUAUUGGAGCCCGGCCGCGUUGAUCGCGUUGGUGCGCGACGGGUGCGUGAGCUAGGGCGUGCGGAGCGUGCGGGCGUGGAGGAGUGGGGAGCGCGGCGUCGUGUGGGCGCGCCCGUGUAUAAAGCUCCACCCCGCGUACUGUUGUUUGUGUGGGGCUCGAGUUCGUGCUCGAGGAAGACGCCGUUCGUGCGGCAGGCGUUCGUGCGCCGGAACCACCGUGUCUUGUGUCUCCCUCCUUUCUUCUUCCUCUGAUCGUUCUAGCGAGAGUACAGAGAGAGAGAGAGAGAGUUCCGGUGAGAGAGAGGGCUAGGGCUACCGUGGCGUGCGGCGGCGUCCGCGGCACGCGCGGCGAGCACGUCGGACAUGGAGGCUGCAGCGCGUGGCGACCGCGACGCGCAGCGACUCCACGGUGGUGGGGACUGAUGUCGUGCACGCGAAGAGCACGGCAGUCGCGGAGACGAGGAGGUCGCGGAGGAGCUGUGUGGUGGCGCAGAAGUCGCGGCGGCUCGGCGCGACAACCGUGGGGGCACGGAAACAUGGCGCGACGGCGCACGGGACUGCGGGCUGCUGCAGCGGCAGUGGGCGUCGGCUCAUGCUGGAGGCGUAGAGGAGACGACGACAACGAGUCAGGCGAUGUCAUGGCUUAGGGGGUGAUUGUUGGCGCAUAAGCCAUGUCCCCGCCGAGGUGACCGGUGUCGGGCGUGCCAGUCAGGUCCGUGGCCGCGUCGAGCCCAUGUUUAGGCAUAGUCUGACCUUGGUCUGGCCAUGGUCUGACUAGUGUAUGGCUUGUGUGCGUGCGUGUGUGGCGCGGGGUGUGUGUCUGUGUGCGCACCUGUUGCGUGGGUAGUUGGCGAUAGUGGCGGGGGCAACCGCGGCGUUUUGUUGGAGCCCGGCCGCGUUGAUCGCGUUGGUGCGCGACGGGUGCGUGAGCUAGGGUGUGCGGAGCGUGCGGGCGUGGAGGAGUGGGGAGCGCGGCGUCGUGUGGGCGCGCCCGUGUAUAAAGCUCCACCCCGCGUACUGUUGUUUGUGUGGGGCUCGAGUUCGUGCUCGAGGAAGACGCCGUUCGUGCGGCAGGCGUUCGUGCGCCGGAACCACCGUGUCUUGUGUCUCCCUCCUUUCUUCUUCCUCUGAUCGUCCUAGCGAGAGUAGAGAGAGAGAGAGUUCCGGUGAGAGGGAGGGCUAGGGGUACCGUGGCGCGCGGUGGCAUCCGCGGCACGCGCGGCGAGCACGUCGGAUAUGGAGGCUGCAGCGCGCGGCGAGCGCGUGGCGACUCCACGGUGGUGCGGACUGAUGUCGUGCACGCGAAGAGCACGGCAGUCGCGGAGGAGUUGUGUGGUGGCGCAGAAGUCGCGGCGGCUCGGUGCGACAACCGUGGGGGCACGGAAACAUGGCGCGACGGCGCACGGGACUGCGGGCUGCUGCAGCGGCAGUGGGCGUCGGCUCGUGCUGGAGGCGCAGAGGAGACGAGGACGACGAGUCAGGUGAUGUCAUGGCUUAGGGGGUGAUUCUUGGCGCUUAAGCCAUGUCCCCGCCGAGGUGACCGGUGUCGGGCGUGCCAGUCCGGUCCGUGGCCGCGUCGAGCCCAUGUUUAGGCAUAGUCUGACCUUGGUCUGGCCAUGGUCCGACUAGUGUAUGGCUUGUGUGCGUGCGUGUGUGUGGCGCGGGGUGUGCGUCUGUGUGCGCACCUGUUGCGUGGGUAGUUGGCGAUAGUGGCGGGGGUGACCGCGGCGUUCUGUUGGAGCCCGGCCGCGUUGAUCGCGUUGGUGCGUGACGGGUGCGUGAGCUAGGGCGUGCGGAGCGUGCGGGCGUGCAGGAGUGGGGAGCGCGGCGUCGUGUGGGCGCGCCCGUGUAUAAAGCUCCACCCCACGUACUGUUGUUUGUGUGGGGCUCGAGUUCGUACUCGAGGAAGACGCCGUUCGUGCGGCAGGCGUUCAUGCGCCGGAACCAUCGUGUCUUGUGUCUCCCUCCUUUCUUCUUCCUCUGAUCGUUCUAGCGAGAGUAUAGAGAGAGAGGGGUUCCGGUGAGAGGGAGGGCCAGGGCUAGACACCCAACACGCGGUGCGGCUCGCACUGGGACUCGUGCUCCGCCGCCAUGGCGACGGCCAGCGCAGGACAUGCGCGACACUGGGAGGGGAGCCAAGUAUGAGGCUCUGGAGUGGCUCAUGCAGCGCGUCGCGCGCGGCGGUGCUGGUGGCUUGCAAUUGCAGGUUGACCAUGGGCGGUGGACCUCGGGCAGAGCUCACAUGUGGUUGCGGCGGUGCGCGGACAAGUGAAGCUCGCGGCGUGAUGGCGGCGCGUCGUGUGUGUGUGCGCGCGCUGUUUGCGCCCACUGUGCGUGUGUGGGACGGUCUGAUGACGCGACGAACGAUGUCGAGGCAGCAGGCCACUGGCGCUCGGUAUCGACGUAACGGAGCUCCUUUCCCUUACAGAUGCGGGCGCCGUCUCCUCUCAUGUCCCCUUCCCUCCUCUCUCUCGCCGCCGCCUGCGUGCGUGCACGUACAGCUUGCUCGCCGAUAGAGGGUGCGCCGCUGCUCUCCUUCUCUCUCCUUCUCUCUCUCUCUCUCUCUCUCUCUCUCCAAGGCGACCGUGUUCCCGAGCCGCCGCCCCCUACCCAAGCUCCCGCAGCGCUACAUGUUGCCGCACGCCGUAUCUCUUUCGCGGUUUGGCCUCGCUCUUGGCACCGCGCCGGUCUACGAUGGCCACCAUCUGCCGGACAGUAAGACCCGAUAUGGUGGUCGCCUCGACGACCGGUGGGCGCAAGCCAGCUGCGGCCCUUCGCCAUCCCCGAGCCAGCCGCGGCCCUUCGCCUACGGCAUGCUCGGCGCGCAUCUCCCGACCGGCGUGCGCACAUAGCCUCAUCUGCUAGGGAUAUGCGUCACCAGCUCACUCUAUCUGUUACACCGAUGCCACUCCCGAUGCGGACUGCGGUUGUGCUUCUUUUCGUUGUUAAAUAUAAUCUUGAUGUCUUGUGUGUCUGCAUGUUUACUUUCGUAUUUGCAUGUAGUAGUGUGUCUGUGCAGAGGUACGUGAGGCGUACAACUGAUGGGUUCAGUUUGAAGAGCAUGCAUGGUGAGACUCCAACGUGCAGUGAGAAGCUGCUGCAUGCAAAGAUCUGAAACUAACGAGCUGUACAAAUUAUCUAGGAAGUUGUUAUGCAUGCGUGUGUUAGUGGCAUAAGAAUAGGUGAUGGAUUAGUUGGUUAGUGGAGCAGGUCGUGUGCACAAAGAGCCGGGCACGUUGUGGCCUGGCAGCGUGUGCGAGCUAGCUACUUAAAGCGUUGUAAUUAAGUUCGUCUGGUUAAGAAAUACAGAGAGAAAAAGCCGUGAGCUGUGCGAGAGCACGGCAUCAAAUAUCCUGUGUUCUUGUGUGUGUUGUGUGAAACAACCAAGAGAGAAGAGGUGAGCUCAGAGAGUCGGCUCCAACAUUCGUGUCUGUGAAUCCGUGAUGCCGUAGCCAGCAUCUCUCUACAUCUGGAUGUAGCGGAGCACAGCGAGCACCGGAGCGGCCACUCGAUUGACGGGGCCACCUCCCAAGGCUCCUCGGCCAUCACCUUCCCCAUGGCCGCCCUCGCGCGACUCCAUGCCGGCCGUUCAGCUCAGCAGUCCUCUCGAGGAGAGUACACUAUCGACAAUGGUAGCAUGCUUAUGCCACGAAGGGACGCCAUAGUCAUGCACAGAGUGGUCGGCGUGUUUCUGUGGAUACAACGGUUACGAAUCUGCAGGCUGGCGCCCACAAAGCCUGGCUGCUAUUUAUGACUGUCGGUGUAGCCUUCGAAUUUCACAGCAAGGUCGUAUGUGAUUAUUAAUACUGUAGCAGACCGUACAUGUACACUCUCAUAUAAAUGGACCGUGGAAUUGGAUUAUGGUUGUUGGCAUUACUUCAACUAUUUUAUGCAGUCCUUCAUUGAUUCUAGGAACUGAAUAACAUUUUUGUGAGGAAUCGAUGAAUAGCAAUUUGAUAAGUAUUGUGAGUGUGUAAGCAACGCAUUCACAACUCCAAAGCAGCUGAGCCGCAGCUCACAAACUCUUGUUUCAUAAAAGAUUAGAGUGAAAGACUUUGGCGAAUGAUUAUUUCAGCAAAACCUGAUUAACUGACUAACUUAAGAGUAUUUUAAAAGUAUUUUGGAUAAGCAUUCUGGUUUGCACUCUGCAAUUCAAAGAUGAGCACCACUGAAUUUCAAGAAAGAUAUGAUAAAGGGUCU
rnacentral:lncRNA from 1 species